rnacentral:rRNA from 1 species
AUUAGAGUUUGAUCAUGGCUCAGGACGAACGCUGGCGGCGUGCUUAACACAUGCAAGUCGAACGGAAAGGCCCUGCUUUUGUGGGGUGCUCGAGUGGCGAACGGGUGAGUAACACGUGAGUAACCUGCCCUUGACUUUGGGAUAACUUCAGGAAACUGGGGCUAAUACCGGAUAGGAGCUCCUGCUGCAUGGUGGGGGUUGGAAAGUUUCGGCGGUUGGGGAUGGACUCGCGGCUUAUCAGCUUGUUGGUGGGGUAGUGGCUUACCAAGGCUUUGACGGGUAGCCGGCCUGAGAGGGUGACCGGCCACAUUGGGACUGAGAUACGGCCCAGACUCCUACGGGAGGCAGCAGUGGGGAAUAUUGCACAAUGGGCGGAAGCCUGAUGCAGCAACGCCGCGUGCGGGAUGACGGCCUUCGGGUUGUAAACCGGCUUUCGCCUGUGACGAAGCGUGAGUGACGGUAAAGGGUAAAGAAGCACCGGCUAACUACGUGCCAGCAGCCGCGGUGAUACGUAGGGUGCGAGCGUUGUCCGGAUUUAUUGGGCGUAAAGGGCUCGUAGGUGGUUGAUCGCGUCGGAAGUGUAAUCUUGGGGCUUAACCCUGAGCGUGCUUUCGAUACGGGUUGACUUGAGGAAGGUAGGGGAGAAUGGAAUUCCUGGUGGAGCGGUGGAAUGCGCAGAUAUCAGGAGGAACACCAGUGGCGAAGGCGGUUCUCUGGGCCUUUCCUGACGCUGAGGAGCGAAAGCGUGGGGAGCGAACAGGCUUAGAUACCCUGGUAGUCCACGCUGUAAACGGUGGGUACUAGGUGUGGGGUCCAUCCCACGGGUUCCGUGCCGUAGCUAACGCUUUAAGUACCCCGCCUGGGGAGUACGGCCGCAAGGCUAAAACUCAAAGGAAUUGACGGGGCCCCGCACAAGCGGCGGAGCAUGCGGAUUAAUUCGAUGCAACGCGUAGAACCUUACCUGGGUUUGACAUGGAUCGGGAGCGCUCAGAGAUGGGUGUGCCUCUUUUGGGGUCGGUUCACAGGUGGUGCAUGGCUGUCGUCAGCUCGCGUCGUGAGAUGUUGGGUUAAGUCCCGCAACGAGCGCAACCCUUGUUCACUGUUGCCAGCACGUUAUGGUGGGGACUCAGUGGAGACCGCCGGGGUCAACUCGGAGGAAGGUGGGGAUGACGUCAAGUCAUCAUGCCCCUUAUGUCCAGGGCUUCACGCAUGCUACAAUGGCUGGUACAGAGAGUGGCGAGCCUGUGAGGGUGAGCGAAUCUCGGAAAGCCGGUCUCAGUUCGGAUUGGGGUCUGCAACUCGACCUCAUGAAGUCGGAGUCGCUAGUAAUCGCAGAUCAGCAACGCUGCGGUGAAUACGUUCCCGGGGCUUGUACACGCCGCCCGUCAAGUCAUGAAAGUUGGUAACACCCGAAGCCGGUGGCCUAACCGUUGUGGGGGAGCCGUCGAAGGUGGGACUGGUGAUUAGGACUAAGUCGUAACAAGGU